CGUCCGUGCGUAUUGCCACAGUUUGAUGUACAAGUGAGAGACAUGGACGGCAGUAUAGUUUCAGGGUUCGUUAUGAAGACGUUUGACAAGUAGCUAAGUUGAGAAGUUGUUUGAGAACUCGCUACCAAUGACCGAGUCCAGAACAACACUGGGAUCAGUCAAUGAAGGAUUUGCCAAGUUACAGCAGCCUCCUAUCCAUCACAAGCUUUUGGCCUGAACGCAGACAUGGUAAGCUGUAGUACUCUUUCUCUAAUUUCAGGUUAAACCAGGGCCAGUGCAUUCAUUGCGUGGGAAUCAGCUUGUACACAUGGAUAGCGUAAGCUAGCUUGCAGUACGACAAAAAGGAUGCUGUGUCAGGGGUAACUGACUGUCCUCUGUCCUAUGCACUUUAAGAUUGCUCUCAGCAGAAGAUUACUCACUUCUAUCUUCCCAGUUCAGAAGAACAAGUCAGCGUCAUUUGCAAGGUUUUUCAUUUCUAUCCCAAGCAGAGCACCCAGUGAUGCAAUUCUUAACAUUUUCCUAUCUAUAUAGGUAACCACAACAGUUCUUUCACAGCGGCCUGUCCUGCAGCAUCCCAAUGAACAACUACUGUACGACCCGUAUGGGAAUUUUUUUUCAUGAGCAGAUCAACAAUGCCAAGGUUACCUCACGAAGAUCCGGGUGCCUCAAGCGUCUCUACCUUCAUGGGAAAUGAAAUAGACAAAUAUGUCGUGACUGUACCACGCAUCGCGAACUCAGAAAUGUCACAAAUCAGGAGCAGCAGAUGGAAGCAACAAAGAGGACAUUUAA